AUUGAACGCUGGCGGCAGGCCUAACACAUGCAAGUCGAGCGGAGCGGCGGACGGGUGAGUAAUGCCUAGGAAUCUGCCUGGUCGUGGGGGAUAACGUUCGGAAAUGGGCGCUAAUACCGCAUACUAUCAGAAGAGCCUAGGUCGGAUUAGCGUGAUGGUGGGGUAAAGGCCUACCAGGGCGACGACCCGUAACUGGUCUGAGAGGAUGAUCAGUCACACUGUAACUGAGACACGGUCCAGACUCCUACGGGAGGCAGCAGUGGGGAAUAUUGGACAAUGGGCGAAAGCCUGAUCCAGCCAUGCCGCGUGUAUGAAGAAGGUCUUCGGGUUGUAAAGCACUUUAAGUUGGGAGGCGUUACCAGCAGAAUAAGCACCGGCUAACUUCGUGCCAGCCGCCGCGGUAAUAC
rnacentral:rRNA from 1 species